rnacentral:antisense_RNA from 2 species
CUUCACCGACCCCAGCCACAAGGGCCCGUCGGUGCGUUCCUGGCCGUAGGUGGAGAGCAGGGCCUGCGCCUC